AGAAGAAGCCGGGCAACGAGAUCGAUGAGAUUUUCCAAGGAAAGAAGGCCAAGAAGAGCAAGACGUCCGCCGCGGGCGAAGAAGAAGCACGGGAGAAAGGAAAGAAGCAGGCUAAGGGAACGGGGGAGGGCGGUGGAAGUAAGAAGACGAAGGAUAAGACGAAGAAGAGGCGGGAAGUGUCUUUGGAUGAAGGCUCCGAGGCACGGGCGCGGCGGAGGAAAACGGGGGACGGUCUCGCCAUUUACUCGGCCGAGGAGCUCGGUUGGGGGAACUCGGAAUCAGGGGGAACCCCUCUUUGCCCUUUCGACUGUUCCUGCUGCUUCUGAUCCUCUGAAGAUCUCAAAAAGGUGGCACCUUUCUUCUUACUUCUUAUUCUGGUGUUAUCAAGUGCCUAAUUUUGUGUCAUUUGAUCAUUCUGAGUACGACGUGUGAAGGUCGAACGUUUUAACAAUUAGAUGAAUAGACUUAAAACUCUGUACGAAUCAUCUUUAGGUUAUCAUAUUUUGUAUUGAUAUGAAGAUCUCAUCAAUUAUUCGCAUGAAUUAUUGGUAUUCUUUAUGCCAAAAGUGGUUUAUAUGGAAGUCGCUUUUUAAGCUUGCAAGCAACGGAGAAGGGAACAGUAGAAAAGAGUAUUGUUUCAUGGGUUUUACAACUUCAAGACCUUUGUUCCCUUUCCGUUUGUGUCAUGCAAAGUUAUUACUCAUGUGAAGGUUUUUUUCAACAUCUUGUGGCUUUUUCUUCCUUUGUAAUGCAUGUUGGACAGUAUUUGCAAUUUGAUAUUUGUAAAGAUUUGCUUAGUGUUUUUUCCCGAGUAAAGAUGUUACAAUAAUCUCAUUUCUUUUUCUUGUACAACUUCAUGAAUAUCAAAUUGCAAACAGUGUCCAUGAAGUUGAAUAUAAUAUUUAGGUUGAAUUAAAGAUGGGAUUAUUCAAUCAUUCCAAAUUUAAUAUAAUAUGUAGGUUAAGGAUGUUACACUGUCCAUUGAUAUCCUUUACUCAUGUUAAGAAUUGUGAUUUUGUUUAAUCAUUCCAAAUUUAAUAUAUGAAGGUUGAAUAUUUUAACGGUUUGAUAAACAGAAUUGGAGUUUUGUACGAGUGAUCUAUAUUAAGAUCUAAUUGGUAAUUCACAUAGAAUAAUGGUAGUUUUAAACCAAAUGUGGCUUACUUGGAAGGCACUUCUUACGCUAUGUUUUCUGCAGUAAGUUGUGGAGAAUUGAGCAAUAUAAGUUUUAUGGAUUCAGCAACUUAAAGACUUUGUCCGUUUUAUGUUUGUGUUGUCUUAAAUUAUUGCUCAUGUGAAUUUUUUUGCAACAUCUUGCAGUCCCUUUCUUCCCAUCUGAUGCAUGUUGGUUAGAAUUUGCUUUUAAUGUUCCAUUCUUAUAUGUGAAAAUUUUCUACUUCUGAAUAGAUAUGUCGAAAUAACAUCUCAUUUUCAUUUUUCUGGACAACAUUGCUACUAGAUGAGAGCAUGAACUUGGAUUACAAAUAUCUCAUCUUUAGAUGUCCGAUAGAAUAUGUUGACGAGCUCUUUUAGCUUGAUUUACAUGUAAUGUUAUGUUGUUGCUAGAUGAGGCCCAGUAUGCAUGUGAUGUGACUGAGUUGAGCUGACAGUGGUGCUGCAGAAUGAUGCUGGCUUUGGAGCUUCAUGGCUUUAUCUCAGUUAAGACUUGGUAGGCAAGAUGGAGAUGCUAAUAAGAUCAAGUUUUGAGUUUGGAGUAGGAAUUUGUGAUGUGUAUUUGCACCUUGUCUGGUUGUCAUUUUGAUGGAUUCUCAAUUCAUUCCAAGCUUCUAAUUUGUGAGUACUGUUUUGGAUGAGAGAGCAAGAAGAGAUCCUGCUAGGUUUUUUUUGUUGUGUUGCACCACCAUACCUGACAGUAGGNNNNNNNNNNNNNNNNNNNNNNNNNNNNNNNNNNNNNNNNNNNNNNNNNNNNNNNNNNNNNNUUUGUUGUGUUGCACCACCAUACCUGACAGUGGAGCCUCAUGGCUUUAUCUCAGUUGGUAGGCAAGAUGGAGAUGCUAAUAAGAUCGAGUUUCGAGUUUGGAGUAGGAAUUUGUGAUGUGUAUUUACACCUUGUAUGGUUAUCAUUCUGAUGGAUUCUCAAUUCAUUCUAAGCUUCUAAUAUGAUGCAUUCAACAUCACUUCAUGGCCAUUGCAUGCUGGUUCUCUUGGUAAGGCCACUGCGAUUGAGUGCUAUUUUGGAAGAGAGAACAAGAAGAGAUCCAGCUAGGCUUUUUUGUUGUAUUGCACCACCAUACCUGACUGUAAGCAGGUUUCCCUCUCUUCUUAUUAAUGUCUUUGAUAAAUGAUGAUGUUUGAUAGAUGGCGACAAGAAAAGGCCAUGAGAUACAUCAUAUAUCAAUGACAUCCAACUUCUGGAACAGUGAUUUACAUGUAACACACCAAGAUUUGUAAUGGAGAUGUUCCA
rnacentral:lncRNA from 1 species